UCGGCACUAUUAAAGAUAACCUGACGUUAAUGCGAUACGAGGAGGCGGAGGCCUUUGUGCAACACGUGAGACUCGUAUUCAUCAACUGUGACAAGUACAACCACAUCACUACGGAGGUAGGCCAGACCGGGGAAAGACUGAGUAAGGUGUUCGAUCAGCUACUGAAGGAACAUU